rnacentral:rRNA from 1 species
GACGAACGCUGGCGGCGUGCUUAACACAUGCAAGUCGAGCGGUAAGGCCCUUUCGGGGGUACACGAGCGGCGAACGGGUGAGUAACACGUGGGUGACCUGCCCUUAGCUCUGGGAUAAGCCUGGGAAACUGGGUCUAAUACCGGAUAUGACUCCAUGACGCAUGUUGUGGGGUGGAAAGCCUUGUGCGGCUAGGGAUGGGCCCGCGGCCUAUCAGCUUGUUGGUGGGGUGAUGGCCUACCAAGGCGACGACGGGUAGCCGGCCUGAGAGGGCGACCGGCCACACUGGGACUGAGACACGGCCCAGACUCCUACGGGAGGCAGCAAUGGGGAAUCUUGCGCAAUGGGCGAAAGCCUGACGCAGCGACGCCGCGUGAGGGAUGACGGCCUGGUGUAAC